AUACGGAGGGGGCUAGCGUUGUUCGGAAUUACUGGGCGUAAAGCGUACGUAGGCGGACUGAUCAGUUGGGGGUGAAAUCCCAGGGCUUAACCCUGGAACUGCCUUCAAUACUGUCAGUCUUGAGUUUGGGAGAGGUGAGUGGAAUUCCUAGUGUAGAGGUGAAAUUCAUAGAUAUUAGGAGGAACACCAGUGGCGAAGGCGGCUCACUGGCCCAUUACUGACGCUGAGGUACGAAAGCGUGGGGAGCAAACAGGAUUAGAUACCACAGUAGUCC
rnacentral:rRNA from 1 species